rnacentral:rRNA from 1 species
UACGUAGGGUGCAAGCGUUAAUCGGAAUUACUGGGCGUAAAGCGUGCGCAGGCGGUUUUGUAAGUCUGUCGUGAAAGCCCCGGGCUCAACCUGGGAAUUGCGAUGGAGACUGCAAGGCUGGAGUCUGGCAGAGGGGGGUAGAAUUCCACGUGUAGCAGUGAAAUGCGUAGAGAUGUGGAGGAACACCGAUGGCGAAGGCAGCCCCCUGGGUCAAGACUGACGCUCAUGCACGAAAGCGUGGGGAGCAAACAGG